rnacentral:rRNA from 1 species
UACGAAGGGGGCUAGCGUUGUUCGGAUUUACUGGGCGUAAAGCGCACGUAGGCGGGUCGUUAAGUCAGGGGUGAAAUCCCGGAGCUCAACUCCGGAACUGCCUUUGAUACUGGCGAUCUUGAGGCUGGAAGAGGUUAGUGGAAUUCCCAGUGUAGAGGUGAAAUUCGUAGAUAUUGGGAAGAACACCAGUGGCGAAGGCGGCUAACUGGUCCAGAUCUGACGCUGAGGUGCGAAAGCGUGGGGAGCAAACAGG